rnacentral:rRNA from 1 species
AACGAACGCUGGCGGCGUGCUUAAGACAUGCAAGUCGAACGGUAAGGCCCCUUCGGGGGUACACGAGUGGCGCACGGGUGAGUAACACGUGGGUAAUCUACCUUCGGGUCUGGGACAACUCCGGGAAACUGGAGCUAAUACCAGAUGAGACCACGAGGUCCUCGGACUUCGCGGGAAAAGAUGGCCUCUCCUUGGAAGCUAUCGCCUGUAGAUGAGCCCGCGUCCCAUUAGCUAGUUGGUGAGGUAACGGCUCACCAAGGCGACGAUGGGUAGCUGGUCUGAGAGGACGACCAGCCACACUGGAACUGAGACACGGUCCAGACUCCUACGGGUGGCUG